rnacentral:sRNA from 1 species
UAUCUGUUUUCUAUUUUGAGGGGCAGGA